UACGUAGGGUGCGAGCGUUGUCCGGAAUUAUUGGGCGUAAAGAGCUUGUAGGCGGUUUGUCGCGUCUGCUGUGAAAAUCCGGGGCUCAACCCCGGACUUGCAGUGGGUACGGGCAGACUGGAGUGUGGUAGGGGAGACUGGAAUUCCUGGUGUAGCGGUGGAAUGCGCAGAUAUCUGGAGGAAUACCGGUGGCGAAGGCGGCAUCCUGGACCGACAUUGACGCUGAUGAGCGAAAGCUAGGGGAGCAAACGGG
rnacentral:rRNA from 1 species